rnacentral:rRNA from 1 species
AUGCCUAAAAAUGGCCCUGCUAAGAAUGACCAGACUCCCAAGCGCAAGAGGGAUGACCCACAGAAAGAGGAAAGCCGAUCCAAAUCUCCUGACCAUGACAAGGGGCAUACCUCUCGUGUCGGCAAGACAUGUCGUCUACUGCCAACCGAGAGUGAGCUCACUGCUUCCUCGGAAAGUGAGGUUGAUGGUUCGCUGCUCAUCGAAACUAUAGCAAGAGAGCAGGGGAUUUGUGAGGAAGAGGACACCCAGGAGGUUUCUAACUGGCUAGUGCCUCUGAAGCCAGUUUUAUUACAGAAUUCGGCUGCAACUGGGACUGAUUCCCAGGAUGUGCAGGUAACUAGAAACGUUGUUGUUAAAUGUUCGUUGUCUUGUGAUUCGGCUCAAUCUAACUCUGCCCAGGUUGUGGAGGUUGACGGUGAGGUGGAUCCAGAGCUGAAGAUAUUAAGUGACUAUGUGGUACAUCUCCCCUCUCCUGACUGUAAUGAGGAGAUCAUCCAUACCCCUCCGCUUGUGCCGGAAGGGGCGCUUAGAUUCAGCAAGCGUAACACUCAAGGCAUGCAGGAGAAUGUGGAAGCUAAAGCUAUGAGGCUGGCCACCUUAAGAGAUCUGGAAGGUAGUGCUCAUAAAACUUGCAAAAAUUCGUCUGCUGCUCUAGCUAAUAAUGAGUUGAUGAUUAGAGCUACUAAAAUGGGAGUAUGCGUUCCUGAUAAUGACUUCACUUAUAUUGAUGUGCUUAGAGAACUUGAAAAUGUGAGGGGGAACUUAGCUGAGAAGAGUAAUUUGGAAAAUGAUAGACAUGAUUGUGAUGAUGAUAUUAUUGUUACAAAUGGGUUGGGGAAAGAUGCUCCUGUUAAUUUGGAAUGGCUAGAUCAUGAUGAAACUGUGAAUGAUCGAACCUUCUCUGUUAAAUCUAAUAAGAAAAAACAACGUAGUUCUGUUGUCAAGCUUUCUAGGCCUAUGACUAGAAGCCAGAAAAAAGACGCAGUUGUGGGUGAGAUGUGGGGUAACCCUACAAUGCCUCCUGGUAGGGUUACUAGGUCCCAGUUUCACAAAAAAACGUUCCAAAUGAAAGGAAUCAUUUGGAAUUGCAGGGGGGUAGGCAAGAAAGGAAUGGCCACCUGCCUCUUUGAUUUGAUUAGUGACCAUUCGUUGGAUUUCCUGGGUUUACAAGAAACCAUGAAAAAAAACUUUACUCCUAAUUGUCUUAGGAGAAUUGACCCUUUCAAUGUGUUCAGUUGGAACUGGAUUCUUUCUGUGGGAAAAUCGGGUGGUAUUCUGUGUGGGGUCAGAGAUGAUACUUUUGAUGUUGUCUCCUGUGUGAAAGGCAAGUAUAUACUCCAGCUUGUUGUAAAUGAUAAAAAGAAAAAAAAACUCAAUGGGGGGUUGCUAAUAGUGUAUGGUUCUGCUCAUGAAGAAUUCAAAGAGGAAUUCCUCAUCGAGCUUGCUACCAUAUGUAGCAAUAUGCAAGUCCCGUACAUAGUGGGAGGGGAUUUUAAUAUUCUGAGACACCUUGGGGAGAAAAACAAAAAGAUGACGAACCAUAAAUCUAUGGAUAUUUUCAAUUCCAUUAUAAAUAUGCUUGCUCUUAGAGAGAUUCACAUCAGUGGUGGCAAGUAUACAUGGACAAAUAAUCAAGCACAUCCUACUCUAGAGAAGCUUGAUCGUAUCCUGAUGUCAGAAACUUGGGAGGACAUGUUUCCGUUAGUUUCAGUCAGAAAACCGGUCCAGGAAAUCUCAUACCAUAACCCUUUACUUUUAGCCUCGGGUGAUGAGGGGCGAGAGGCCGCAAAAACCAGAGAAUUUCGGUUUGACCUAGCCUGGGUAAAAGAUGAGAGAUUCCUGCCUUUGGUCAGAAAGAUCUGGUCUAGAAAAGUAUAUUCCUCUGAUCCCAUAGAUAUACUUAAUAUUAAAUUGAAGAGGUUCAAAUCCUACUUCAAAGGUUGGGGAUCCGAUAGGUAUGGCCAUGAGAAGAAGAGGAAAGAGGAUAUUGGUAUGGAAUUAUACAUGCUAGAAGAGUUAGAAGAGGAAGCCGCUCUUUCACCUGUGCAUUAUAGCAGAAAAAUCGAUGUUUGUUUUGAGCUCCAUGAGCUGCUGGUGAAUGAAGAAAUCUUCUGGCUCCAGCAGUCGCAUGAGCGGUGGCUGCUCAAAGGAGAUUUAAAUACGGAUUAUUUCUACCAUAUUGCCAAUGGGCGUAAACGUAAAAAUACAAUUCACUCACUUAAAGUGGGGGAGAUGGUGAUUGAGGGCACUGAAAAUUUGAUUGAGCAUGCCACGGAGUUCUAA